UACAGGGGGUGCAAGCGUUAAUCGGAAUUACUGGGCGUAAAGCGUACGUAGGCGGUUUAUUAAGUCAGAUGUGAAAGCCCCGGGCUUAACCUGGGAACUGCAUUUGAAACUGGUAGGCUAGAGUAUGGUAGAGGGGGGUAGAAUUCCUAGUGUAGCGGUGAAAUGCGUAGAUAUUAGGAGGAAUACCAGUGGCGAAGGCGGCCCCCUGGACCAAUACUGACGCUGAGGUACGAAAGCGUGGGUAGCGAACAGG
rnacentral:rRNA from 1 species